AUAAUCAUUAGUCUUUUAAUUAAGGAAUGGAAUGAAUGGCUAAACGUAGUAUUUUUUUAUUAAAUAUAUAAUGAGAAAUAGAAUUUUAAGUUAAAAUGCUUAAAUUAGUAAAUAGACGAUAAGACCCUAUAGAGUUUAAAAUUAAUAGCAUAAUUAUAUUUUUUAUAAAUUAAUUAUACAAUAUAAUUUUUUAUUGGGGCAAUAAAAGAAUAAUUAAAACUUCUUUAUAAAAAUUUAAAUAAUAUUAAAUAACUUAUUUUAAAAAUUGAAUAAAAAAUUACCUUAGGGAUAACAGCGUAAUUAAUUUGGAGAGUCCAUAUUGAUAAAAUAGAUUACGACCUCGAUGUUGAAUUAAAAUUUUUUUAUAGGGCAGCUUUUAUAAAAAAUAGUCUGUUCGACUAUUAAAUUUUUACAUGAUUUGAGUUCAAAUCGGCGUGA
rnacentral:rRNA from 1 species